rnacentral:lncRNA from 1 species
ACACUCCAAACCCCAGAGCUAGGGUUCCCUUGAGAAAAAGAAAACCAUGAAGGUUUCGCGUCCCCAACUCGCACGCGCCACCAUCAGCGGCUCCAGCCAAGCGGACCAGCCACCACGAGGGGUUGUCGACGGCGACACCAACGCCUUCGGCGGAAGAACCACCGCCGGUUGCGCCGGACCACCGUCUUGCACUUUCUUCUUCGCGCGAAACCAGCCCCAACUCCGAGAACCCAUCGUUCCCGCCGCCGUUGACGAAACCAAUGACCACAAGCCGCGAACCAAGGUCGCGCCGGUAACGCUGCUCGUCGCCGGCCGUCGGGUCUUCUCCCUUCCUUCUCCUUUUCCCGCACGAGAAAAGCUCUCUCUCGCUCCUUCGUCAAACACCGCCUGAGCGAUCCUGGCCACCAUGAAGCAGAGCACCUCCGUUCCACAGGUCGCGGCUAAGGUCGCCGCCGGACCUCACGUUGACGUCUUCCACCGCCAUGGCCAAAUCCACUUCCACCCAAAAUCGUCACUGCGCCAGCCACCUCUAGGAAUCCCACUGUUUAGCUAUCAGAGAAAACAGCCCCAAAGGCUUGCCGAGACAAUGCUUGGGGGUUUGCUUAUUUCCUGUGAGAAUCAGGAUGGUUCUUGAAUGAUCGGAAGCUGACCUAGACGAUGAAACUAUUGUAUAUAUUUUUUAUUUUAUAUUUUUUUUUUGCAGGGAAAUGACUUUGGGGUUACUGACAUUUCCAUAAUGAAACUGAGAUUAUGAGUGGGUGAUGAUGUAUCUGCUUAGAUGUCUCUCUCGCAGGAAGAUGGUCACAGGGGUUUGCAUGGUAUAAGCGAAGAUUGAUGAAGGAUAAUGGGUGUUUUGUCUCUGUUUGCAGGUUUGUGGUAAGGCAUGUUUUUGUUGUUAUGAAGCACGAAUGACAAACAGUAUGUGGAAGCAAAUCAUGUAUAUCGUCAAACAGAAUGGAUAGGAAAAGAUGACCAAGAUAUGCAUACAACACUCAGAAUAUUCAAUGACAACCAUUCAUAAGCAUACAAAGGUAUUCUAACAGCUCAGGAAUAUUCCACAACAACCAUACAUAAGCGGUAGAGUAAAAAGGCAUUCUAACAGCGAUUGUGAAAUAAGUUUACUCGUUUACCGCUUGGAGCUUCCUUAGUACGGUUGCUGUGACAUGAUGAAUGAAGUUUGUGCUGAUGGGGAAGAAAGUAGACUACUAUAGUGGCCGAGUUUCUGUGCUAUUGCUAACUUCAUACCCCUGAUGAUCUCCUCUCUCCUCUUGGCCGGCUCCUCUUUUGUUUCUUUGUAGGUGAACGGAGGUUGCAGAUGUGCGAAGGAUGGCGUCUCAGCUUGAAAAAAAGGAAAAAAUUGGGUAGAGGAUUGUGCUUGUAUGCGUGAUGGGGGAACCGUUUCUGUUGAGUGAAUAGAGAGUGAAUCGGAGCUGAGAGUAGUGUGUGUGUGAGGGAGGAUGAUGUUGCUUCUGUUAGCCCCCAAGAACCCUCUUCUUCUCCCCCUCCAAGAUAUUGAAGCAAUUUGAUACCCACCAGACGCUCCUCCCUGUCGCACUGCCUCCAGGAAGAUCAGAGCAUAUCUCUUUCUUGGGAUUUCUUUUUUUGUCUUUUCUUUCUUUUUCUGCGUUUAGAUUGGAUCAAAUAACCAAAGCCGUUCAAAUUUCUUUUCCCGUAUGAUGUUUGAUUGCAGAAACUGUGUAAGAAAUUCACAGGCUUUUCCACGCUCCCAUUGUAUGGGAUAUGUUGAGUGUUUAACGAUACCUGAUGCACUGUUGCUUUGAGUUGCAGGAAAAAGCAUAGUUGACUCUUUUGUGAUUUUUGUUUCUUUCUGUUUUUUUUUUCGUUUUCUUUUUUUUUUCGUCUUUUU